rnacentral:lncRNA from 1 species
CUGAGCACAUACAAUGUGACAACACUUCCAAUCUACUCAGAACAACCCUCUCUCUCCAGCAGAGAGUCUCACCUCCUGAUAGAGGAUCAUCAAGCCCUGCUGACUGGACCUCAGCCUGCCUGCAGGAUUAAAUUGCAAGGCUUUCACUCUUCCUCACCUUGCCUGGAGGCAAAUCUCUUCUGCGGAAUCUCAGAAAAUCAAAUUCCAUCCUAAGAAUAUUUCACCAAGAAUUUCUUUAGAAGCUGUGCUGGGGUUCUACGAUGAUACACCAACCACUUGUGCUGCCACCUGUCAAAACUUUGGAUGGCCCUACUUUCAGGUCAUGACCUUGAAUUUAAGAAAUUCUUCAGGACAAUGUCCAAUAUGA